rnacentral:rRNA from 1 species
UACGUAGGGUGCAAGCGUUGUCCGGAAUUAUUGGGCGUAAAGAGCUCGUAGGCGGUUUGUUGCGUCGGCUGUGAAAUCCCGAGGCUCAACCUCGGGUCUGCAGUCGAUACGAGCAAACUAGAGUGUUGCAGGGGAGACUGGAAUUCCUGGUGUAGCGGUGAAAUGCGUAGAUAUCAGGAGGAAUACCGGUGGUGCAGACGGCUCUCUGGACCGCAACUGACGCUGAGACACGAAAGCGUGGGUAGCAAACAGG